UCCUAGCAACAGUCGCCUGGUAAAGGUGGAGGACAGCAGACCCUCUCUCCCCGGCUGUUUCACUGCCUUGGUGAACUUAUUCUCUGGUGACUAUGACAACAUCUACCUGCACUGUAGUCUGAGCAUGUGCGACCCCACACAGGCCGGCUGCUCCCAGGCAUGCAGGUCCAGGGUGACCCGUUCUAUCUCCCUUGAGAAUCCCCUGACCAUUGGACCCAUCUCCUGGGAGAGGGUGGCCAGAGAGGAUGCCUUAGCAUUCGCGGAUG